CCUCUCACCCCCUUCAGCCGUCGUCGAUGCUCCUUUCUCCCUCUCUGUUUCGUGCGAAGAUCUGCAGAAACAGAAACAGCGACCAGCGUCGCCUGAAGGAGCCACAGCCACGCCGGACCGGCGUUUGCUCGAUCGCACGCCGCCUCACGCUCCCCGCCCGUACGCCGUCUGCCCCCGUCCAGUCGGGCUGCCGUCCACGAUCUCGCCCGGCCAGUUGCUGUUCGGUGGUCGUGAGGGACGGUAGAGAGCCGCCGGAGCUCCUACCGCCACCGCCUAGGUCUGGUUCGGCCUCCUCCGUCCAUCUCGGCCCUUGCUCGCCUCAAGCCGAGCCUCUUCCUCACCUUCUUCGGCCCCAACCAGCAGCGGACAGAAAGUGCAGAAAUGGGUACCACAGUUCGGUUUCGGCCCGUUUUGGCCGUCUUCCCGAGCCCGGAUGCUCGGCCUGCCUUAAGGAAAGUCGAUUCUCGCGUCGAUCCCUUCGUUUUGUGGAAACUUAACCUAGGUCUUGGAGUCACAGAAGUGUUUCUAAGAAUAUGGAACUGCAUUUACUCACUCGAAUGGGCACCCAUUCCCUUGUCAAGUUAAAAGAUGCUUGAUCAUGUGUUCUUGUCCUCUGCAUGAUGUUUGAAAAUCAGUUUCCCCACAUGCUGGAAAAUGAUUAUAAACCAUUCUUGGCACUCGAUAUAUUUGUGAAGGAUCUGCUAUGGCAUAAGUCUCUUGCUCUUUGCAAUCUUUUGAAGAACUUGUGAAACACUACAUGGGCAAUCUUUUAAUUUCUCCAGGGUAUUGUUUCCCGUGAAUGUUCAUCACGUAAAGUCAACUGUCGCACACCAACUCCACUGUAUAGCUGUUAUUUCCUCUAUCGAGUUUGAAAUAGUUCAAAUGCUUAUGUAACUGAUAAACAAAAGAACGGUCAUGGCCGCAGAAGAUUUCAUUUCGUCUUCAUUUAACCUUAUGGCGGCUGACUCAGGUGACCAAGAAGAACAGGGCUGCAGGAAUUCUGGAGAACUUUAAAGAGGGUGAAAAGUAUGCUGAGCAUUCUCUAAGGAAGUUAGUUCGAAACAGGGCUCCAGAAAUCAUGCCAUCCAUCACAGCUUCUUCACAAGCCCAGAUCGGAAUUAAAUCCACAUAAGGAAAACCUGAAUUCUUCUACUGGAUGGAGUAAAACUCAGUUGACUUCAUCAUGACUCUGGUGAUGUGAUUGUAACAUUCUCAUACGAUGGUUAUGACUGCUCAAAAAAAUAAGCUCAGCGGAACUUUUUAUUUUUAUUUUUUUAUGUGAUACUAUCAAUGGGUCAACUAUCGUCUACGGAACAAGGCUUUUAUAUUCUUCUCGACAUGGAUUGGUGCAUAUUUUUAGCUUUUCAGCUUCUGUAUGUCCGCAGUGAUUCGGCAUAUGCUUUACUCAGUUGCUUUACUGUUUUGUUAUUCAUAUUCCUAGUCUUCCAUUAAUCUUAUCAGCCAGAAACCUUAGUUUUUACCCGGAUUUCCCAACUGAUUAUUCUAUGAGAAAUUUCAGAAUGCUCGUUGGAA